GGCCGGGCCUGCCCCGCCGUCGCGGAGCCUCCCGUCCAGCCGCCGCCUGCGGGCCAGCACGUGCGCGACUCCCGCGCCCCGCGUCCCGCGCCGGGCCCCGCCGGGCGCAGCGCCCUCCCGGCGGCGGCGCGAUGCUGUGCUUCCUGAGGGGAAUGGCCUUCGUGCCCUUUCUUCUGGUGACCUGGUCGUCCGCCGCCUUCAUCAUCUCCUACGUGGUUGCGGUGCUCUCGGGGCACGUCAACCCCUUCCUCCCCUACAUCAGUGAUACAGGAACAACACCUCCAGAAAGUGGUAUUUUUGGAUUUAUGAUAAACUUCUCUGCAUUUCUUGGUGCAGCCACAAUGUACACAAGAUAUAAAAUAGUAGAGAAGCAAAAUCAAACCAGCUAUUUCAGCACGCCUGUUUUUAACCUGGUGUCGCUAGUUCUUGGAUUGGUGGGAUGUAUCGGAAUGGGCAUUGUAGCCAAUUUCCAGGAGUUAGCUGUCCCCCUGGUCCAUGACGGCGGUGCCCUCUUGGCUUUUGUCUGUGGUGUGGUCUACACACUCCUGCAGUCCGUCAUCUCUUACAAAUCGUGUCCCCAGUGGAACAGCCUCUCCACGUGCCACGUGCGGAUGGCCAUCUCUGCCGUUUCCUGUGCAGCUGUGGUCCCCAUGAUCGCCUGUGCUUCACUAAUUUCUAUAACCAAGCUGGAAUGGAAUCCAAAAGAAAAGGAUUAUAUAUAUCACGUAGUGAGUGCAAUCUGUGAAUGGACAGUGGCCUUUGGUUUUAUUUUCUACUUCCUAACAUUCAUCCACGAUUUCCAGAGUGUCACCCUAAGGAUAUCCACAGAAAUCAAUGAUGAUAUUUGAAGAAAGAAGAAUUAUAUGUCACUCAGUGAAAGUCGCAGGCAAUUUCUGGAAGUGGUACAGAGGAGGGUCUUAAUGCUGCCCUGUGUGGAACGCAUCUGCAGUACAUCCGGGACUUGAAUUUCGUUAAGAAUUCCCGAUAGUUGUACUAUUUCCAAAGGAUCUGCUAUGUUGUUUCAUGACCCCGUGGAGUUUACCUGACUCCAACUGCUUCAGUGAGUCCUUCCCUAGAAUUUUUCAACUUGGAACCAUAAAGAAUGUUAAGAUAGCUUUUUUUUCCCCCUUUUCCUGAUGACCAAAGCUAUGAAACGUACUGUUUGUUAGCGAGCUCUUUGCCCCCAUGUUUUUCACCCCAUGAAGAAAGCUGAUCAUUAGCUUGGAUGAAGAAUGAAACUAAUGAAGAGAGUGAAUGGACAGAAGAGACAAGAAGAAUAAAAAGGAAACCUGA